GUAGGUGGCAAGCGUUGUCCGGAAUUAUUGGGCGUAAAGCGCGCGCAGGCGGUCCUUUAAGUCUGAUGUGAAAGCCCACGGCUCAACCGUGGAGGGUCAUUGGAAACUGGGGGACUUGAGUACAGAAGAGGAAAGCGGAAUUCCAAGUGUAGCGGUGAAAUGCGUAGAGAUUUGGAGGAACACCAGUGGCGAAGGCGGCUUUCUGGUCUGUAACUGACGCUGAGGCGCGAAAGCGUGGGGAGCAAACAGGAUUAGAUACCCUGGUAGUCCACGCCGUAAACGAUGAGUGCUAAGUGUUAGGGGGUUUCCGCCCCUUAGUGCUUCAGCUAACGCAUUAAGCACUCCGCCUGGGGAGUACGGCCGCAAGGCUG
rnacentral:rRNA from 1 species